CCAGUUUUUAUCUGAUGUCUCCUCUGCUUCUGUUACUUUGUCUACUUUUAUUCAACUUCCCAGGAUUCCUUGCCUAGGGAUAUCAGUAUCCUUCUGAAGAACGCUCAGGAGAAUGGUACGUGAAGGAGGAGACAGAGCGGAAAACUAUUUUUCUGUAGAGAUGUACCUGUGGUGGACAGAAUUUCUAAAAAUGGCACUCAAGAUUCCAUGCUGGAACCUGUGACUAUGAAAAGAUAUUAUUGCCAUGGCUCUGUUAUGUUAUAUAGUACAGGUGAUCUUGAAAAAGGGAGAUUAUUUGGGUUGACCCAAUCUAACCGUAAGUCCUGAAAUGCACAAAGCUUUCUCUGGUGUGACAGAGAUUCUUUGCUUGACCAAAUAUUAGUCAGUCUCUUGAAUCUUCUCCCAGGCCCAUCUAUGCAAUUCCUUAUAAAAUCCACUUUUAGCAAGAACCCUGCUUAGUGAAUUUAGCAAGAACUCCCCACCCUCAAUAUCUGACUGGACUCCUCAUCCUCCACCAUCUCCCAGGUGAUGUCUGAACAUCCUGGACUGUCUUCAGCAAGAAUCUUCUUAGGUCAGUUCAUCCAGAAUUUCCCUUACCCCUGAUGUUUCCUCUUCAUAAUUUUUCAUCCACUGUUCCCACCCUGCUCUCUGGCUAUAAAUUCCCCCUUGCCCAUGUUGUAUUCAAAGAUGAGUCCAAUCUCUCUUCAUUAGAAAACUCAUUGCUGCAGUCCCCAUAUCUGUUGCAAUGGCCCCGAAUAAAGUCUGCAUUAAUGUGCUUUAAUAAGUGUCAUUGAAUAAUUUUUUCUUUAACAGGAGAAGAAAGCAGAAGGCAACGUUAGAUGUAAAAAGAAAGACCUCAAAGCACUGUUGCUGGUAUGAAGAUGGAGCACGUGUGCUGCCGAAGAGAACACAACAACACACUCAGAGACAGAGCCCAUAGACAAUGGCACCAGAGGAUCUAGGAGCAGAUUUCACUCUCCCCAUCAAUUUACCUUCCCAUAUUUUCCCACCUUUUGGAAGCCUGAAGAUGCUUUCUUCUUUUUCUUGUCACUAUGUAGGAUUUAUGGCUGUUUGUUAAAAUAUUAUUUAAGCAAGGACCCUAAGCCACUGCCUUGAGAAAGAAAUACUUUUGAACUGAGACCUUAGGAAAGGUCUCAUCAGGAGCAUCAUGGGUACAGCACAUGUUAAUAAACUUCUGCUUGUUU